GAUGAACGCUGGCGGCGUGCCUAAUACAUGCGAGUCGAGCGAACGGACGAGAAGCUUGCUUCUCUGAUGUUAGCGGCGGACGGGUGAGUAACACGUGGAUAACCUACCUAUAAGACUGGGAUAACUUCGGGAAACCGGAGCUAAUACCGGAUGAUAUUUUGAACCGCAUGGUUCAAAAGUGAAAGACGGUCUUGCUGUCACUUAUAGAUGGAUCCGCGCUGCAUUAGCUAGUUGGUAAGGUAACGGCUUACCAAGGCAACGAUGCAUAGCCGACCUGAGAGGGUGAUCGGCCACACUGGAACUGAGACACGGUCCAGACUCCUACGGGAGGCAGCAGUAGGGAAUCUUCCGCAAUGGGCGAAAGCCUGACGGAGCAACGCCGCGUGAGUGAUGAAGGUCUUCGGAUCGUAAAACUCUGUUAUUAGGGAAGAACAUAUGUGUAAGUAACUGUGCACAUCUUGACGGUACCUAAUCAGAAAGCCAUGGCUAACUACGUG
rnacentral:rRNA from 1 species